AGAGGGGCAGAGAGCACGUGGGAACACAUCAUGAUAAGGCCUUGGAGAUCCAGGAACCAGCAGCACCAUCUCAGGAGCACAUCUAUCCAGCCACCUGCCUUCAACACAUCAUUCUGCCUCUCUGGGCCAUAUUACAUGAGAAACUGACUUGAUGGUCAAUGCUGAGGGCUGACGGACAUCUGGCUGGCAGCCACCCUUCCCUGAAUCCCACUGAUGUCAUGUGUGAGGAGUCUCAGAGCACCAUGAUUUAAGG
rnacentral:lncRNA from 1 species